rnacentral:tRNA from 1 species
AGGGAUAUAACUCAGUGGUAGAGUAUCACCUUGACGUGGUGAUAGUCAUCGGUUCGAAUCCGAUUAUCCCUAAGAGAUAUAACUCAGUGGUAGAGUGUCACCUUGACGUGGUGAUGGUCAUCGGUUC